rnacentral:rRNA from 1 species
AAUAAACGCUGGCGGAAUGCUUUACACAUGCAAGUCGAACGGGGUUUAAGAGCUUGCUCUUAAACCUAGUGGCGAACGGGUGAGUAAUAUAUCGGAACGUAUCCAAUAAUGGGGGAUAACUAGUCGAAAGAUUGGCUAAUACCGCAUACGUCCUACGGGAGAAAGCUGGGGAUCGUAAGACCUGGCGUUAAUGGAGCGGCCGAUAUCUGAUUAGCUAGUUGGUGGGGUAAAGGCUCACCAAGGCGACGAUCAGUAGCUGGUCUGAGAGGACGACCAGCCACACUGGAACUGAGACACGGUCCAGACUCCUACGGGAGGCAGCAGUGGGGAAUUUUGGACAAUGGGCGAAAGCCUGAUCCAGCCAUUCCGCGUGAGUGAAGAAGGCCUUCGGGUUGUAAAGCUCUUUCGCAAGAGAAGAAAACUACCUAAUAACACUAGGUGAGGUUGACGGUACCUUGAUAAGAAGCACCGGCUAACUACGUGCCAGCCGCCGCCGUAA